rnacentral:lncRNA from 1 species
UCAAAUACAUCCAGAAAAAUUAUAGGAAGCGCUGUAUGUCAAGUGCCCAGCAAAUAGGAGCUCAAUAAGCAGUGGGCAAGGCUACUAAUAGCACUGCUAAAGUCACAGCUGGCCUGUUGUCCUUAAAGCCCCAGGGUAGCCCCCAAAGCCCCCUAAUCCCCAAGGGAGCUGACAACGUUUUAUUUACAUUUGUGGUUACCAAUGACUUGUAACAUUGUUUCCUUGGGGAAUUGCUCUGUAUUCUAAAUUCUCUGUGGAGACCCCGGAACUCCUCCCACCUCACCAAGGAAGAGGAGGAAAGUCUUCCAUGGUGGGAAGAAGGUCACAGGGUCAGGGGCGCAGAUACUCUUAAAUACCAGUUAGUGAAAACGGCACAUCAGUGUGAAAAGGCUUACUCCUUGGAAAACUGCUCCCGAGGAUUAUCUGCUAUGUGCCAAGAGAUGCCCUACUUAUUAGAUUGUAUCCUUUAAUCUCGACAACAGUUCUGGGCUUGACUGACUCCUUUUGCAGAUGGGACCCCUAAGGUUCAAGGAGGAAAAGUCUUGCUCUCAAGAUCACUUGGCUAGAGCCUGGGGGAGACCAGACUGGAAUUCAAGUCUGUUUGGCCCCAGAGCCUGUGAUCGUUCCUUAACUUUGCCACAAUGCCUUCAGGUGUCUGAAAAAUGAAGCCAGGUGUCUCGUCAUUUGCAAGUCAGAUAUCUUUAAGCUAGGAUGCCUCUCUGUGUCCCCUCCUGCAGUUAUCUGCCUAAAAGCAGCUCAACCAUGUGACACUGCCUUGAAAAUCCUUCUUGUUUUCACCCUGCAGGCAGAGCCGACAGCCCGCGGAGCAGGAAGCCUGAUUCCCAACCAGGCUCAUUGCUGUGUGUCUGUAAUUAAGGCCCUUGACAUCUCUGAACCUCAUUCUGCAGUUUCAGACAUCCAGGCCAGGCACCGGGCCUUCCCUCCUUCACAAGGCAGAGGGUACAAUGAGCUCACAUCCAGCGGCAUGCCCAGGGACUGGCAGAGAGCCAGCAUCCUACAAAUCCACAGAAUACUACACAGCAAUAAAAAGGGAUGAACGAGUGGUCCGUGUAACCACAUGGCUAAAUCUCCAAAGCAUCAUGCCAAGUGAACAAAGCCAGACCCAAAAGACACAAACUGUAUGCUUCCACUGGAAAGGCCAUGUGAAGUCCCAGUGAGAAGGCGGCCAUCUACAAGUCAGGAGGAGAGCCCUCCCCAGAACCCGACCCUGCUGGCAGCCUGAUCUCAGACUUCCAGCCUCCAGAACUGUGAGGAAAUCAAAUUCUGUUGUUUAAGCCACACAGUCUAUGAUAUGUGUUAUGGCAGCCACAGCAGACUAAGACAAAUAGGGAUAUUAAUUCUGCUCUACUAGUGUGAGCGUAACAAGAAGUAAUAUGUACAUAAGUGCCUUGCUCCAGGAAAACAGACUCUUACCAAACUUUAAUUAAUAGAGUAUUAGGUAGAUGCUUCCAUCUCAGGUAACAGGAAACAUCAACAGGAAACUCAAUUUGGUUUAAACAAUGUUGAAAAUUAUUCUCUCACAUAAGAAGUCUUGAGCUAGGGGGAUUCUAGGGCUGAUGAAUUAAUCAGCCCAGGCCCUCAUCAAAGUCCCAAGUCUAUCUUUCUUUCCUGCCCUCCUCAGCCUGUAAGCAUGGCUGCAAGGUGGCUGCUGUGGUUCCAGCCCUCAACUGCAGACACAAUCCUGUCCAGGGGACAAGAAAAGGAACUAUUUCUUCCCAGGUAAAGACGGUUCCUGUUUCCACAACAGAGUCUCCACGCUGCCUCCCACUUUCAAACCAGAAACUCUCGAGUAGACAGAGAUGCCUUGUGAUCCAAUGAAGCCUGGCCCUGCCCAAAGAUCACCACUCUGCCCAUCCUAGGGGAUCCAGAAAUGCUUCUGAAUUUGUCCUCUGAGGACCUGGACCACGUCAAGAUUUGGAUGUUCAUUGGGAAGCUGUACUAGUCUGUUCUCACGUUGCUAAUAAAGACAUACCCAGGGCCAGGCAAGGUGGCUCACGC